rnacentral:rRNA from 1 species
GAUGAACGCUGGCGGCGUGCCUAAUACAUGCAAGUCGAGCGAACGGACGAGAAGCUUGCUUCUCUGAUGUUAGCGGCGGACGGGUGAGUAACACGUGGAUAACCUACCUAUAAGACUGGGAUAACUUCGGGAAACCGAAGCUAAUACCGGAUAAUAUUUUGAACCGCAUGGUUCAAAAGUGAAAGACGGUCUUGCUGUCACUUAUAGAUGGAUCCGCGCUGCAUUAGCUAGUUGGUAAGGUAACGGCUUACCAAGGCAACGAUGCAUAGCCGACCUGAGAGGGUGAUCGGCCACACUGGAACUGAGACACGGUCCAGACUCCUACGGGAGGCAGCAGUAGGGAAUCUUCCGCAAUGGGCGAAAGUCUGACGGAGCAACGCCGCGUGAGUGAUGAAGGUCUUCGGAUCGUAAAACUCUGUUAUUAGGGAAGAACAUAUGUGUAAGUAACUGUGCACAUCUUGACGGUACCUAAUCAGAAAGCCACGGCUAACUACGUG